rnacentral:snRNA from 1 species
CGGGUGCACCGCCGACCGAC